UCGUAACAAGGUCUCCGUUGGUGAACCAGCGGAGGGAUCAUUACCGAGUUUACAACUCCCAAACCCCUGUGAACAUACCAAUUGUUGCCUCGGCGGAUCAGCCCGCUCCCGGUAAAACGGGACGGCCCGCCAGAGGACCCCUAAACUCUGUUUCUAUAUGUAACUUCUGAGUAAAACCAUAAAUAAAUCAAAACUUUCAACAACGGAUCUCUUGGUUCUGGCAUCGAUGAAGAACGCAGCAAAAUGCGAUAAGUAAUGUGAAUUGCAGAAUUCAGUGAAUCAUCGAAUCUUUGAACGCACAUUGCGCCCGCCAGUAUUCUGGCGGGCAUGCCUGUUCGAGCGUCAUUUCAACCCUCAAGCCCAGCUUGGUGUUGGGACUCGCGAGUCAAAUCGCGUUCCCCAAAUUGAUUGGCGGUCACGUCGAGCUUCCAUAGCGUAGUAGUAAAACCCUCGUUACUGGUAAUCGUCGCGGCCACGCCGUUAAACCCCAACUUCUGAAUGUUGACCUCGGAUCAGGUAGGAAUACCCGCUGAACUUAAGCAUAUCA
rnacentral:rRNA from 2 species